GAAAUGAUCUUUGUUAAUUUUAGAUCUAGUUCUUCAAAGUGCCGAGUAGGCACAGCUAUUCCAGGUAGUUGGGCACAGUGGGGGUGUUCAAUCUUUGUGGGAUAUGGCUCUUGCUUACACAAUGAAGGCCAAGCCUGAUGAAUUACAUUUCCUUUGUGCCCUGCAGAGCAUGAGGCUGAUGCUCAGCAGGACUCCAGCCCAGAGCUGUGUAUCACUGCAGACUCAGAGCCAGAGCACCAGCUGCGAUACCUGGAAAGAGAAAAGCUCUUUCUCUUCAAGCAUCCUCUCCUUGGACUUGCUACUCCCCCCAGAUCAGUUGGAUUUUGGGUGCAGGGGCAGCUGGAGGAAAGCAAAGCAGCAUGUCCAGCACUGCCCUUCUACCCCUGCUGCCCUCUGACAGCCCAGCAAGAGCUGCUUCUGCCUGAGGAUCUGGAGAGGAUUCACUGGACAGCACAGACUGAGAAUCAGUGCAGUGGAGGGGGAUUAACAGUCCCUUGGAUCCACACUUUCACUUCAGCUUUAGUGAUAAAUUUCUAGACCAAAUGCUAGUAACGGAUUUCUCAGCGCUGACUUUCAGCUGCCCUUGUUGGACCAGCCAGGACGUACGAAGCAGGAGCCAGUUCCCUGUGGAUAUCCAGAUUUAGCUCUGAUCCCAAUUGUCUGGUGUGCCAGCAGCGGGUUAGACUAGUAACUUGUGCAGGGAGGGUUCUGGUUACAAAAUGCCUGGAAUGAAGCAAGCAGGUGCUGGGAAGGUUAACUGAGGGGAGCACGGCGUUAAUUCCCCAUCGCCUCUCGCUCCCCCCCGCCUGCCUCGGGAGCAGCGGGAUGGAUCUUCCACAGGUGAGGCUGUGCCGAGGGGCUGCCAGUCCCCGGUGAGCACGGCCACACCACAGAGCAGGGCUUAGAUCAGCUUUUAGCUCCCAAGGUUGUGUGGUGUAGAGGAGCCCCGUGAGCAGAGGGCUGAGUCACGGUGGUGGGCGCUGGGUUCCCGGGCUGGAGCAGUGAGUGGACAGCCUGACUCAGGGUGGGCGACAACACUCGGUGUCAAUGAGUCACAACAAUCGGUGCCGCUGUGGCUCUCAUGCUCUCAGGGCUUGCAUUUCAGAGCAGGAGGCUCGCUCUGGACAGCUGGGAUGGUUUCUUUCCCUGCUGCAGCGGGGCUCAGCUGUUCACACAGCGACCGCCAGUUUGCAGCUCGGGGAUGGGGAGUUCCUGAAAUCGGAACUGCCUUACCUUUCCUGCUGAGCUGUGAUUGGUGGUCCAGCAGCUGCUACAGGAGCAGCUGACCUGUCCCCUAAAAAACAAGGCAGAGGGGAUGAUAUGGAGGACAAAAAUCAGUACGGUUGCUCCAAGGUGAGUGUGGACCUCAGGAGCUUUUCAUCUGUGCAGAGUCCACACUCUGGAGAACCAUGUAGAAGUGGAACUGUGUUCUGCUGUGGCUGCAGUUUAUUUGAUUUAUUUAAGUGUAUUGCCUACUGGUGUAAGCUCCAACAGACACCUCUGGGUAUGUCUAAAAGGGUGUUUGACAUCACACCGGUUUAGAAACAAAACCUUUUCAAUAAAUCAGUGACAAACUGAUGAACCCAGCUGAUCCCAGCUUGCACUGAAAAAUGGAGGCUUGUGCUGCACGUUGUUGGACUGAAGUAACUGAACUACUUCACAUUUGCACUUGUGGAAGCCUGAAUGCAGGUAAGACAAAUAAACCCACCUUGAUGCUUCCUGUUACCUUUUACUUUUUGCCUUAAACAGGAUUACCAAGCCCACUGAAUAUAUCUGACCUAUUCUCAUCUUUAAAACACAUGGUUUUCUUCAAAACAUAACUUGCCAAAUGUGACUAUUUGAUGAUAAGACACUAUGCAGAGUUGGCUAUGAAUGUUUAUUAACAUCACAUGGAAAUGUGUACUCCAGAGAAGACAAACGGGGCUGUCACCAUACCUACAGAGUCCAGGGAACCAGAACAAGCGUUGUAGGCUUCUCCUUGGCAGCAGUUGCAUGGCUGAUGUUCUUCUUAAGUUUUCUUCCUAUACAGGAUCAGCUCAAGUAUCAACACCUUGUUAAUGAUUUAAGUAAAAAAAACCUUUAAGUUUAGUUAAGUUACUAUUGAUCUGGAUUGACUGAAAAGGCAGGAGAUGACCAGGAUGUGGGUUCUGACUUUGAAACACAGACAGUUCUGACAUUUUGCACCAGCAUUUUGUGGCAGGGGCCAGCGCUGCAGUUGCUGCUCUCCAGUGCCUGCACAGGUUACACCUUAGUUACUCAACCAAUAAUAAGCGAAAUUCAAACCAUUGCAUAAUCCAGUCAUUCUUACAAGCACAGUCAAGGGCAUCACAGUAAACAAAGGUUAUGGUUUCCAGAGACCCUUAAAAGCCGGGGCCAAAGAGCACAAUAAAUACAGUGGUGGAAGAGCACAGACGUGUCGGGCGUCAGGGCAGAGGAGGCAGUGGCCAUCUGUAUCACCGGAGAUGCAUCUUUUUCGUGUGAACCUCCAGAGCCCAGCAGUACUGUCUGAGAAGAGGCACGAGGAUGGAACAGGAGAGUAACAUUCAGCCUGGCAACAGCAUUUUCUCCUGCUUAAUUCUUCGAUUCUGGAAAACUUCAGUUGGCACGCACUGUUCACCCACAGAACAGGGCAUGGUAAGGACAGAGUAAGGGCUUAAACACUCUGCUGUUAUUGUCAAGGUUCUCAGACUAAAGACGACAAAUAAUACUGUAAGUUGAGGCAAGUUUUAUUUAGACUGUACAAAUGGCAUUGGGGAAAAAACACAGUGGCUUGAUGUUGGGACCAGUUCUAUGAAUUAAGUGGAGUAAGAAAUUAAAAAGGCACUAAUCUUAAGAAAAGACACUCUGUAAAUUCUAAGAAUAUAAUUCAUUUAAUACUGUUAAUCUUAUAGCACAAAAAAUAAAACAAGCUAUGA